GGGAUUAUCAGAACGGCGAUACAACAUCGGAGGCGAGAAACUUUUUCGAGGCGCUUAAAGCCGUGACAUUUGAUGCAGGCUGUGUUCGCACCUUUGCAGAAAUGAUGAAAUAGACAAGCGAGAUCUCACAGGCUUGCAGUACGGAUGAGCACCCGAACCGCGUGAGGAGACUGCCGAUCAGCUGCUUUGAAGGAGGCUGUUCAGAUCACUAUAACGGGGCGAGUCUUCUUUCAAAGCGUCUUCGUUGCCUAAUGAUUGCAUUCGGAAGGCAUGUGUGUUAGAGUAGGGAGAAAUGUUCAGGUGAACAGAGCACUUGUUAUAAAGGUGUGCGUGCUCGCUCAUGUGCGACGUCCCUCAGGAUCUUCACAUUAAGUGUGCCCUUAUCGAUCAACAACGUCGAAAGUCGCCUACUUUAAGAGAAAGUAUGCGGAAGAAGAGGAUGUCCAGGGAGGCCUACAUGGAUAUUUACAAAAACACCUGAUUCUGCGUGAGGAGCGGAGCUGCAUCCUGCGCCUGUCACUGCAGAAGCUGCGUUUCCUGGACGACCCCGAGGCCUACCUGCGCCGCUCCGUUCUCAUUAACAACCUUCUCCGCAAGAUCCACUCUGACGGGGCGCAGCGAGGGGGAGAGGGGGAGGAGGAGGAAGAGGAGGCGCUGCAGGGGAACCUGCCCUCGCAGAGACUCUUUUACUCGGGUGGGAAGAGGCUGAAGGUGGUGGUUGCCGAAUGUUGCUCUCCGAGCUUCAGCCUCCAAGACCUCCAGCAGUGCAGGCUGCUCCCAUACCCCUCUUCCCCGGGCUCGUGCACCUGCAGCCUGGCCACUUGCCCCGCCCCGCCCCCUGAGCGCGGACCUCCAAUACUGCUCUACCAGCUGAAUGACCACUGAUGACCCCAACUGGUUUGCAGCAUGGAAUUUACCACCGUUGACCAGCAAGCCAAUGCCAGAGCCAAGAUGGAGCCCUGUGACAGACAAGGCCCUGGGAUUUUUUCCUGUGUGCAUCUGUGUGCUUGCAUAGCAUCAAAAACACACUUGGAAGCUGGGAUUGUUGCUGUUUAAGUCCUGUUUGGGAAUUCACCAUGAGUGAAUAUCAGGGUCUGCUUUUUCAUUAUUAUUAUUUUAUUUUUAUUUUUUUUACAGAGAAAAGGACUACAUCGCUCAUGCCUAACUGCCUCUCUGAUUAGCUUACAUUUUAUUUUGCUCUUUUCUUUGUCUUAAGUGAGCUAUUACAUAUUUAAGCAUUUUUCAGGGAUUAUAAGAAAAAAAACAGCAAGUACUUUACAUACAUAAGAAGGUGAAUACCUUGUGUUUAUGUAUGUAAAGUAAAAAUUGUCAGAUGUUUGGUUGCUUCACGAAAAUGGAAGGAUAGUUUGCUUUGUGAGCCACAAAUGAAAAACAAAGCAUCAAAAAAUAUUGAAUAUGUAAUUUUGCUAUUGCAUAUAAAGUGAGGGUUGUGUGAUUUGUAUGUCUUUGAGGAUAACCCACACAUUACAUUUAUACAAAAACAGGUUUCAACAUUCUAAAUUAAUACGUUUCUGCCCUCUAGUGCUGAAAUCCUGUAUUGUCAGCAAAAUACGACUAAAUGCAAGACACCGCCAGAGGACAGAUUUUUCAGUUUGAUUCUGGUUUUUAGAUUUAAUUAAUACUGGAAUCAGUAUAUCUGGAUAUUUUGGCCAAUGUUUCAAGGAAUGCCAGAUUUCUAUUUGAUGAUGUUUGGAAAACUUUGAAAAGUAGGCCUAGUCACCAAACACAUCAAGCCCUCGCUAACUCCAACACUUUCUGUCUGUACCUACGUCCUCUGUCUAUUCACAGACAGCUUUAUCACCCUCUUGGCACAGUAAUUGUUUGAUCUGGCUUAACACUACUAACACAAUCGCUCAUAGUAGGGUUUUUUUUCCUACAGAGUUCUGUUAUCUUCUGUUCCAUUUAAUGACUACACAGUGCAGACUAAUUACAAAACAAGGCAAACAUCCCUUUUACCUCACUUGCUGACUUCUCUCACAAAGCAAUGGUACAGACAUAACCUAUAUUUUAAUAUUCAAUGAAAUGUCAGAAAUUUGCCUUUUAUUCAGCUCUUUUUGUAUCAAUGUACAUGUGUAUGGAGUUGUUUGUUUUAUUUUGGUUUCAAUAUCUGAAUGUGUAAAACAGAUGAUUGAAUCAAAAGUGCUACCUUUUGGACUUAUGGAUAUAAACACAAAUAUGUGGUUUAUUUUAAAUGUUUUCUCUAUUUUUAAUAAAUGUUCUACAAAAAUGUUAACCAUAUUUUGCCAAAACAUUUAAAAGUAGUAGCAGAGAUCUGUCUAUUUUUCAGGUAUUGUAAUCAAAUUAAA